rnacentral:pre_miRNA from 1 species
AUGUAGGGCAAUCUGUCUUUAAAUAGAGGUAAAUUACUCUAAAAGAAAUGAAUCCUUUCCCCUUCAUGCCCAGCAUCUUGU